GUGCCAGCCGCCGCGGUAAUACGUAGGGGGCGAGCGUUGUCCGGAUUUAUUGGGCGUAAAGGGCUCGUAGGCGGCUUGGCAAGUCGGCCGUGAAAACCCAGGGCUCAACUCUGGGACGCCGGUCGAUACUGCCAUGGCUAGGGUCCGGUAGAGGGGAAUGGAAUUCCCGGUGUAGCGGUGAAAUGCGCAGAUAUCGGGAGGAACACCAGUAGCGAAGGCGGUUCCCUGGGCCGGCACCGACGCUGAGGAGCGAAGGCGUGGGUAGCGAACAGGAUUAGAUACCCUGGUAGUCCACGCCGUAAACGUUGGGCACUAGGUGUGGGGCCUACUUAACGGGUUCCGUGCCGUAGCUAACGCAUUAAGUGCCCCGCCUGGGGAGUACGGCCGCAAGGCUAAAACUCAAAUAAAUUGACGG
rnacentral:rRNA from 1 species